ensembl:lncRNA
UGACAAUUAAAUUGUUCUGUCACUUUGGGACCUUCAUUAAUCUCAACUUGUCAUCCUUGUUUAUGCAGGUUAUAAUGGCCUGUGUGUGUAAGUGAAAUGAGAUGCUAAAAGCCCUUGGCUGUUUAAGUCUUUGAUGAAAGUCAAGCAGGAAUACGUUGUUGAAGGAGAAAGUUGGGUUUUUUUCAUCCCCCAAAAUAGCACCAUGGAAAUUACUGCAUGGUGUAAUGGCUAGCUAUGGAAUAAGCCGAGUUUACAGAUCAGUGAAAAAAAGAAUGACUUUAUGGUACUGUUAUCACAUUCUUUUGUGUGUCUGUCUGAGUGUAGAUAGAAAUAAAGAUGUGGCAACAUAGAUUACUUUCUCUUGCAGGAAAGUGAUGCGAAGGCAUCAUACUCAAACAGAGGAAUCUAGAGGCUAGAGAUUUUCAGACAACACUGCAUUAUUGGUGUAACUCAGGCGGAGGACGCAACUAAACAUCUCCUGAAUCUCUGCAAUAAACAGUUUUUCAGUGUUCAUUAAUAAGAAGAAACCAGCUCUUUUGAGUGAAAAUUUCCUCAUCUUUAGUGAAUUUCUGGGGUGUUCUGAAGACCGACUUGGAGAAAAGGGGAAUAGAAUGCAGUUGACAAGUCAUUUAUUUCUCUAUUACAGCCAUCUGGAAGAUUAACUAAUAGCAGCCUCGGCGUUGGAUGGCUGGCCAAAUUAGGUAUGACUUAGCAGAGUAGUGCUUCAUCGUCCGCUCCUUCCCAGAGCAGACCUUCUCCAGCAGCUGCUUCGUUAGGCAGUGAGCAGGCCCACAGCGGGACAGAAACGAAGCGUGCUGUGCUGUCAGCUCAUCUGAAAACAGGUUGGGAAGCCUACUGAGGUCUCCAGCAUUGGUGGUUUUCCCGCCAAGGAUUAAAUAUGCCUGCAUAAAGCCAGCGCAUCCCACAAAUCAAAAGCAGCAUGCGUGGAAAAGGAGCAAGCAGUGGCAAGCACAACCUGGAGUGCCGUGAUGGAUUAGGGAGAGGGCCCUGUGAAUGCUCCCUUUUCUGAAGGGGAGGUAAUCCGUCAAUCCCAACAGGGCAGUCCUGUCAAAGUAGGCCUCAUUGAGGACCACAGCAUCCUCCUCGGUUUGUUCUCCGUCCUGUGGAGGGCACUGCACUCUGUGCCAGACUGAGCUCGUGGUCAGAAGCUGAUUGGUGUGGGGAACCUACCAACUUUUGUCCUCUCUGCAAAAUGGCUGUACCAUCUUCUAACUCUGGAGAGCUGGGGAGAAGACAGCUCAAGAUGUUUUGAAAAGCCAAAACCUCUCAAUGUUAAAAUGUAAGAGAGAUUGAUUGUGACUCAAACGUGAUAAGAUUUCAACGAGGCAAGCUUGGUCCAGUAUCAUUUUAAAAGCCAUUCAGAAAGGGCACUUGCUGGAGCAGGAGAGCUUCCCUGCUGGCUGCAAUGGAGGAAAUCCUGGGAAUAAUCUAUGGCUUAAAGAGAGUUUGUCUUUAACCAUGAAGGGAUCAUCCUGCUCUCCCUACAAAGUCCUUUCAUUUCCAUCUGGAAUGAGUAUACGAUAACCUAGUCAGACCAGCCUCUCAGUCACCAAUCAAAACACUGACUCUUGACAUUUGCCUAAUUAUCUUUUCUCAUCAUCAGUCAUCUCUUGAAGUCUUUGCUUCAUUCAGAUGCCAGGUAUUUCCGAAAUUAAUCAUGUCAUUGAAAGCGGCAUCUUUUCAUGUAAAUGGACUUUAUUAUCUGGAUCGAAAAGCUCCCCCCCACCUCCUCCUUUGAGCUGCAAAAGCCCAUUUGUAGGGAAAGUGUCUGAAAUCUGACAUGCUGCCUUCUCAAGAGAGAUUCGUAGUGGUGACCUCCCAGCAAGAGCUAAGCAUCCGUCACCGGGAGUGUGUGUGUGUGCUGCUUGCACCCUUGGGCUGGAUGCAUGCUAAUUUGCCCCCAUUGUUUCGGGGUGAGUGGCUUUCCAGCACUUCCAAACAAAGCCUUUUUGCAUGAGCCUCUGUGUGUACAAUUAUUUUAUGUUCACAUCAUUCCAUCAUCUUAUCUCUAUUCCUGAUAUAAGAGGGGAUGGAAAUGUCUUUGUUUUCUUGUUAUACUGGGGAUUACAAACUGGAUUUAGCAUGUUAGCAAGGACACUCCUCUUUCAUUAAUUCUCAUUUGACAUAUGUUUUGCAACAUAGGAUUGAUCAGCUCAUUGCAAUGCUCAUCUUCUCUUUAACUUUCAAAGGGACACUACCACCAAACCUUGUUGAUUCAACAAGAAACCAGUCUGCUGUAAUUGACAGCACAUGCAAAGUGUUGCAGGAAAGAAGUAAAUAUGAGUGGUUUAGUCAGGAAUGUAAUCUAAACUGUGGUAGAAGAAUGCAUUCAUUUUGCUCAUUAGGCUCACUCCUUAAUGAAUUGUACAGUGAGCAGGGCAACGAAUCUGAGAUCAGCACUGAUAAUGCAACUCUGCAUUUUGAGGAGUUCACUUUUUAAGUUUGUGGUCGCACAUUUACAGACUCCUUGCAAAAGCACCCUGUUAUUUUACACAUGCUGAGCCUCCCUCUGGGACCAUUUGCAGACAGCAAUAUUAAUUGCUGGCAAGAUCUACACUUAAAUUAAAAGUGAAAGUUGGGCAUCAUCUGACUGAAAGGGGGAAGUGAAAUGAAUCACUGUCCUUCUGUGCUUGCACUGUGUAGGACUAACAAAUUAAGAUCAUUCUUUUUAGCACUGUCAAACCAGGCUUGAUCUGAUAAGAAGCAAUAACUCUCCUAGAAAGUUUUCAGUAUCAUUGGUAUUAUGUAAAGUCAUGUUCUCUAUUCCCUGGUAACAAUUUGAGAGUAUGAACAGACCAAAAGUGGCUUUUUGAAUAACAGGCACACUGUUAUAUAACGGUGUACAUAGCCGUGUAUGUUUAGAGAAAGAGCAUAGAUUAUAAAUUGUUGGAUGCUGAAGAUCAAGCGACACCAUUAUGCAAUGUAUCUUUCUGCCUAGUGAAGGACACAGGGCUCUGUGUAUAUAUACUCUAUAUAUGUAAUGCCAUUAGGCAGACCUUCCAAAACCAAUGUUAAGAUAUAUCAUGAGGCAGAAGUCACCACAGUAUUCAGCAAUUGAAUUCCUAUUCAGCGAUUGUUCCUAUUGCCAAGUGCUCUCAUGGUUAAAAAUUUCCUGUUAAUUUCUAGCUUGAAUUCAUCUAGCUUCAACCUCCAGAUGUUAGAUCUUGUUUUAUGUCUUUGUUAAACUGAAAAGCCCUCUGUUUCCUGUGAAGCUUCUUGUAUAUUGUGGGCAAGUCACUCCUUAACCUUUCUCUAUUAAGCUAAACAGUCUGAGCUGCUUGAGCCUCUCACAAUUGUUUUCUAAUCCUCCCAGUGUUUUCUAGUCCUUUAGCCAUCCUCAUGGCUCUUCUAAUUUAUCAACAACCUCUUGAAACAUAGGCACCAGAACUGGAUCCACUAUUCCAUUAGUAGUCAUACCAGUGCCACAGACAAAGAUGAUAUUACCUCAGGCCUCUAGCCUAUAUCCCCCUGUUUACAUAUCCUAAGGACUGAAGUUACCCUUCCAGCUACAGAGCUAAUGUGCAGCUGAGCAUCCACGCCUCUGCCAUGUUCUUUUUGGAGCCAUUUCUUUCCCAGAGAGAGGGUCCUUCCCUUCUUUAAAUAUUCCCUCCACUCUGUUCACCUAACGUUAUCAUUUAACACUUUCUCAUGCUUAUUGUUUCCUUCAUGCAUCAUUGACGUGCCUUUGAUAUUUACUGCAUUCCCAGUCCGUGUCAGCAGUGACUUCGUGUUUUCUAACAAGCGUUGAAAAGAUUAAACAGCAGCCAUCCACCCAAGAAAAAGUGCUCUGUUACCAAUCCUCGAUAAGGAAUCCUCAUACACAGUGAAAAAUCACCAGCUACCCUCCUCCUCCUUCCUUGCUAAGAAAAUCAUGCCCUAUAAACCACAGAGAAGAUGCUAUACCCUUAACUCUGCCCGACAGUUCACAUUUGUCCUGCUCACCUCACUAGGGGAUUUCUCAUCCUCUUGCUUCCUUUCCACACUGUCCUGAGAAAGCACAUAUACCUCACUUCAGGAAGGAGACAGCAGGAAGCUAUCACUUCAACCCAGGAAGAGCUGAAACUAUUUUCUGCCUGAUAAAAUGAUACACACUAGUGCUGAGGUGUAUUUCACCAGCUGAAGGCUAUUUCUGGAGGAGCAACUGUUAUUUCUUCCCACUUCAAUUUGUAUAUCAUUGAUGCAGUAUUCUGAGGUUGACUGGAUGUUAUCUUAAUUAUCUAUCAUUUAUUACUGUCAUUAUUGUUGUGGCGCUACUUUGGUGCUAAAGUGAGGAACGCAAUCAGGUUCUACAAGUAAGGAUGUAGGAUUGUCCCAAGGAAUUGUGGGAAGGAAUUUGUUUUGUUUUGUUUUUUGUUGUUGUUGUUUUGUUUUGUUUUUUUGUUUUUACUAUUUUUUAAAAUGGUUCAAAAAAUAAUAAUCACCUCACUGGUGUUAUUUUAUUUAUCACCAUGAAUACAUUUAAAUGGAUUUCCCUGCAGUAACCAUAACAUUUAUCUUUCUCGAUAGUUUCCAGUAGUUCUGGGAACUGUUUUUCACAGAAGUGUCUAAUUAUUAUCACUAGCAAUUACAUUUAUUUAUUAUGUUUUGCUGUUGCUGAAGGAGCUUCUCAUGCCAUUGACAUGCUCUCUUGUACGCUAUCACCAAAAGACAAAUUGGGUUAUAAUUAAAUUGCAGAAUAAAAUUGUCAAAUGUUGACAUUGUUUCUCUUUCGUGGGGCAAUUUGUAACCAUUUACUCUUCUUUCCAGUUUGAAGUUAUUCUGUUUCUUUUCCAUUUGUAGUUUUCAGAAAUGUUUUUGUUGUUGUUGUUGUUUUUUGCUGCUCUUUCUUCUCAGCCCUUUCUCUUUCUUUUCCUUCUGCAAAAUCUUUUCUUCCCCCCCUCCCCCCCCUUUCAUAUUCUGAUAACUUUCCUUUGAGAAAGCUCCCAGAGCACCAGCCAUGGGCUUGGUCUUCGGCCUCAUUAGCCAGAAUUUAUCUUUGCCAUGUGCCAAUAUGGAAAAACUGGCGCAGUGGAAAAAGAGAAAGGAAAAUGAAGAAGUGGAAAAAAACUUUCCACCCCAAAGAAAAUGUUAAACUUCAUCUCUUUCAUUACUUUCAGUAGCAAGAUGCAAAGAGGUUUUUAAAAACAGCAGAAAGUGGGAAUUCCAGAAUUUUCACUUCUGGUGGGAUAAAUGAGAAGUUUUGAACAACCAGAAGUCUACAGAAAGGUGGGGCCCUGAGACAGGCACAAAAAAAAAAAAAAAAAAAAAAAAAAAAAAAAAAAAAAAAGCACCAUUUUCUUUGAAGGAAAAAGAAGAAGCUUUAAAUGGCAAUUCAUUUUUUUUCCUGAUGCUUGCUUUCUGCCCUUCUUUCCUAGAGCGUUAGGACACACAAGGGGUUAAAGGUCCAGGAAGAGAGCUAGGGAAGAAAAAUCCCUCUGUUAAUUGAUCUGCCUGUCUGGUGACGAGGGCCAGCUGAAGCUUGUCAAAAACUGUAUGAGCUGAAUCAAGCUUGGGGCCCUAAGUAAAAUACAGACACCUGGAGUGAGGAGGGGCUGCUCUCCCUAUGUGCAACUAUUUAGUUGUUCUUUUAAUGUAGGCAGAGAAGGGAAAGGGUCAAGCAGUGCUGAGUCUGGGCUUGAGGGAUGUCCAAUAGCUUUUUCCACUGAAAAGAAACAAGGCUAAAGCUUGUUAAUGGUAUCUAAUGCUAUUAUUGUGUUAGUCUUUGUGUACUUCUGGGCUUGCUGGUAUAUGUUGGAGGCAUGUUUUGGUGUUGUUAUUUGAUGGUCUUAUCCAUAGGUAUGUUGCUGGGCAAGAAGUAGUGGAAAUGUUUAGUGACAUGUGCACAACUCAAUUUCAGUUUGUUUGGGGCAAUGUUCUCAGAGGGAAUCCUUAACUUUCUGCCCUCCCCUUGCACAAGGAUGAAGUGAUCCAGAGUAUGCCCUGAAAAGCUUUUUUUUUAUUAUUUUUUUUAUUUUUUUUUUUGGUCUCUUUACUCUUUGGCUCUGCCUCCAGACCCCUUCACCGAUGCAAUCUGGCUAGGAUUCUGCAUGCCACUUUGUUUGACCUUGAUGACAUAAGUUGACGCAUGUACUUUUGAACCUUCCCAAGAAUGAAUAAUAUCCCUGCAAUAAAAUGAAAUCCUAGCAUUUUUAACCCGCCAAGCCCCUGUGAUUGUUGGGGCCGGGCAUGUCAAAUGGUGGCUCAGCCGAUGGACGCCUGAAAUGGAGGUGGAUAGAUUUCAGUGCAAAACAAACAAGCCAUUGAGAUCUAGCACUGGUCCGCUUUUCUCAUGAUACCUGUGAUGAGUACGUCUGAAACACUGAAAGCUUUUUUCAUGCGUAGCAGGAGGAGGGAGUGAGGACUGAACAAGAUGCAAAAGAAAAGAGAUUUGCAACUGGGGCAGGCAGGGUUGCUCGCUGGCUCUGAGGCUGGCAGCUUUCAGGGUUACUGUGUGAACCUUAUGGCUCAGGUAAAAUUUAAAAUAGUUCUUCCCCUCCUUUUUGUCCUGAGCUCCCCACAUGCUACGCUUUAGUUAAAGAUGGCCUUCAAGUUUACAUCAAGUUCAAACAUCCACCAAAUUCAGAGAGCUUGGACCCAGAACCUGAGUUGAGUAUUUCUCUGUCUUUCAAAGACUCCCAUAUAAAUGGGGACAAAAACAG